UGUGCACGUGCAUAGCUUUGCAACUCACUCUCUUCGGCAGGACGAUAAAUUCUGAGGAUUUCAUAAUUCAAGCAAACUGAAAGGGAAGAGUAGACCCCUACGGCAGUAUGUAAAGAUGCAGAAGGCAUGGUGCUGAACUGCACCAAAAGGUUACACUUCAGUCAAUAAUUCACCAGCUUUAAAACUGAUGGCGUGCAACACUCCUAUAAAGCACACUCACAAAGUCAGUGUACAGAUAGAAGAAUCAAAGCAGACAGUUCUGAAAAGCUCAUGCACCUGUAGAAUUCAAAUUCCUGCAGUUCCUCGGAAGUCACAGAGUUAGCAGAGGAGCCUGUUUUGCAAUCGUUUUCCCAGUGGUGAGGAAACUUCAGUCAGAAGAAGAUUUUGGCUGUCAUGAUAUCAGACUGCGGCUGUGCGGAAUCAAACACAACAGUUCAGAUUGAGGAAGAUGAGAUGAAUGCCAAAUUCAUGUGACGCCUCAUCACUCUGAGAGGGCAAACUCUGUAAAAUGACAUUAUAGGCUGUUGGUAAGCAUUCUGCUGGAAACUAGAGCUGGGUCCAAGGAGACAGGGUAAUUUUGGCUCCAGUGACUUCAGUUUUUUUGCUUUUUCUGACAGCUGGACAUACAGUAUUUGCAGGAACUUCCAUACUUGCACUGUCUGUUACCUGUCUCUUGAAGAAGCCACACACAAGCUUCACGUGGUUUAAGAGAUAUAGAUUGCCUAUGUCUGCAUUAGAGGUUGGAAAAAGAAGCACAUUUUGUUUGGUUGGUUCACACAACAGGAACUGUUACCAGUUUGUUAAUCCUGCGGAGAUCCAUACUGCCUUCUUGCUUACACCAGUAGAUAGGAAAGAGAAAAUGAACUGUGACCUCUUCCACCUAGUCCUAACAAUAGGGAUUUGGUAGUUUCCACAUGCAGAGUAGAAGAUGGGAGCCAUGGCAAAGCACUUAGCCUACUAAGAGGCAUCCUACUUCCUUGUGAUUGUUUCCUCAGAGCUUUCCCAUGGGUGAUGGGUUGACCCAGCAGCUAAACACCCACCCAGCUGCUCGCUUACUCCCUGCAAAAUGGGAUGGGGGAAGAGAAUUGAAAGGGCAAAAGGAAGAAAAAACACAUGGGUAAAUAUGAAAACAGUUUUGUAAGUCAAGGAAAGAAAAAAAAGAAAGAAGAAGAAACAAGUGAUGGAAAGGCACUCACCAACUCCCACUAGCAGACUGAUACCCAGCCAGUGUGCAAGCAAUGGCAACUUUGCAAAAAAUCCCCCCCCAGUUUUAUCACUGAGCAUGAUGUUAUACGGCGUGCAGUAUCACUUUGGUCAGCUCACGUCAGCCUACUCGCUGUGGGGGCGGAGCGAGAAACAGAGAAGGCCUUCAUGUCCUGCAAGAACUGCUCAGCAAUAGCUAAAACAGGGCUAUGUUACCAACACUGUUCUGAUCACAACCCUAAAACACAUUAACCCCAUCCCAACCAGACGCAUUACACUAUCAAAGGCUGCAGAGAUACAAGGGAACUUUAUCCUUCAAAGAAACAUUAAUAUGGCAGUUGAAAGUACUUCAUCUUAGGUGCAUUACUUUAAUAGUUUUGAUUGCCUUAAUUUUGCUGAAUGUCUAUGUGUAAAAUUGGAGUGAGGAUAACACAGAAGCUAGUAUUAAGAUAAGAAAACUUACUCAGCAGCAAGGACAUUCACAUUCUGUAGUAAGAGCAGUUAGUGAUUGUCUAUGGGUGCAUCAUCCCCAUAUUGCCCUUGCAUCAACCGACUCUUCUUUGUUCAUCUUCUGUGAGGUCAAAGUCAUGGUCACCUUCUCCUUGAUACUUUAUCCAGCCAGAAGAACUGUAUAGGUUUGACAAUAAAAUUUUCAAGGUCUGGUGGCAA